UACAGAGGUCUCAAGCGUUGUUCGGAUUCAUUGGGCGUAAAGGGUGCGUAGGCGGCGCGGUAAGUCGGGUGUGAAAUCUCGGAGCUUAACUCCGAAACUGCAUUCGAUACUGCCGUGCUUGAGGACUGGAGAGGAGACUGGAAUUUACGGUGUAGCGGUGAAAUGCGUAGAGAUGCGGAGGAACACCAGUGGCGAAAAGCGGCU
rnacentral:rRNA from 1 species